rnacentral:lncRNA from 1 species
UUCCCUUUAAAAUCAGGGGUUUUAUCCUUUAAAAUCAGUGAAAUAUUUUCCUUUAAAAUCAGGGGUUUCUUUCCUUUAAAAUCAGUGAAAUAUUUUCCUUUAAAAUCAGGGGUUUUAUCCUUUAAAAUCAGUGGAAUAUUUUCCUUUAAAACCAGUUUUGGAUCUCAGAGCUUCCCUGUUUUCCCAGCCACCAGGAGCCAAAAAUCUGUCCCAAAACCUUGGGGAAUCUCCCAUCCCUUCCUCAGGGCUCUCCCCACACCUUCCCAGCCUUUUUGCAUCUCCCUGCCCAAAAAUUGGGGAAUUGCUGCUCCCAGAGGGAAUUACUGACUUCAAAGGGUUGGGGAAAUAAAAACCACUCAGAUGCAAAACAUGCAAAAAACUAUUUUACUGACAAACAGCAAAGGAUGGGUUUGGUUCCAGGAGCUGAACUGGUUCUCUAUGGUACAAACAUCUUGGAAGGGAAGGAAUGGCUGAAAUACACUCACUUGUUGACCCAAAAUAAAUCACAGUGUGCUUUUUUUCUAUUGCCUCCCCCAGCCCAAGCUCUCUGCACCUUCAGCUGCUCCUCCAGCACAGCCCUGGCUGAAAUCUGCCUGUGCAAGUUGUAUUUCAAUAAAAAUAAAAAUAAAAAUUGGCCAUUAUUGCUUUUCAACCACAGUAGGGAUGGUUCUGUGAUGGAGCCAGAGCAGAGCUGGGUCUGUGGUGCAGUCUGGGCUGUGCCUCUCCCUGCCUGGUGCAUGCAGGAAAAAGGAAAAAAGGGAAAAUAAGGAUGGAGAUGGGGGCAGGCAGCACUGCAGGCUCGGUGCUGCUGCUCCAGGAGGGGAAAUCCUCCCAGGGAGAGCAGGAGGGGCUGGGAGCCCCCGGGAACAGGAAUGGGGGAGCCACAGCGGGGACAGGGCCAUGCAGGGCACGGAGGGACACACAGACAGAGCUCAGGACACACGGACACACAGCAGGGCCCGCAGCCCAGCCGGGGCGGGCAGCUCCUGCUGGCGCUGCCACAUCUGCCCUCUGCUCCUCCUCCUCUCCUCUUCUUCCUCACUUCUUCCUCUCCUCCUCUUCCUCUCCUCUGCUUCCCUUUCCUCUUCUUCCUCUCUUUUACUUCAUCUCCUCUCCUUCCUCUCCUCUGCCCUCUCCUC